AACGAACGCUGGCGGCAUGCCUAACACAUGCAAGUCGAACGAGACCUUCGGGUCUAGUUGCGCACGGGUGCGUAACGCGUGGGAACCUGCCCUUAGGUUCGGAAUAACUCCCCGAAAGGGGUGCUAAUACCGGAUAAUGUCUUCGGACCAAAGAUUUAUCGCCUUUGGAUGGGCCCGCGUUGGAUUAGCUAGUUGGUAUGGUAAAAGCCUACCAAGGCGACGAUCCAUAGCUGGUCUGAGAGGAUGAUCAGCCACACUGGGACUGAGACACGGCCCAGAAUCCUACGGGAGGCAGCAGUGGGGAAUAUUGGACAACGGGCGAAAGCCUGAUCCAGCAAUGCCGCGUGAGUGAUGAAGGCCUUAGGGUUGUAAAGCUCUUUUACCCGGGAUGAUAAUGACAGUACCGGGAGAAUAAGCUCCGGCUAACUCCGUG
rnacentral:rRNA from 1 species